rnacentral:rRNA from 1 species
CACGUAGGGCGCAAGCGUUGUCCGGAAUUAUUGGGCGUAAAGAGCUCGUAGGCGGUCUGUUGCGUCUGCUGUGAAAACUCGGGGCUUAACCCCGAGCCUGCAGUGGAUACGGGCAGACUAGAGGUAGGUAGGGGAGAAUGGAAUUCCCGGUGUAGCGGUGAAAUGCGUAGAGAUCGGGAGGAACAUCAGUUGCGAAGGCGGCUCUCUGGACCAGCACUGACACUGAGCACGAAAGCGUGGGGAGCAAACAG